rnacentral:rRNA from 1 species
GUGGAUUAGAUACCCGGGUAGUCCACGCCCUAAACGAUGUCAACUAGGUGUUGGGUGGGUAAAACCAUUUAGUACCGGAGCUAACGCGUGAAGUUGACCGCCUGGGGAGUACGGCCGCAAGGUUAAAACUCAAAGGAAUUGACGGGGACCCGCACAAGCGGUGGAUGAUGUGGAUUAAUUCGAUGCAACGCGAAAAACCUUACCUACCCUUGACAUGUCAGGAAGUCUUGAGAGAUUGAGAUGUGCCCGAAAGGGAACCUGAACACAGGUGCUGCACGGCCGUCGACAACU